AAACCAAAGUUACGUAGAAAUAUCACAUUCUGCAGGUUAAUUGGUUUGCAAUUUGCCUUAGGGGAGCUUUAUUCUGUCACAAAAUCACAUAUAAGUAGAGAAAAGUUCUUGACAUGAGCUUGACGCAUUACGUCAUGCCGGGAAAGGAUUGGUUCUAUUUUCAAUAUCCAAAGAGUAAUGUUAUAGUCCACACCAGCGUUAAUGAACAGUAAUCACGGCGGGUGAUGUGGCAUAAAAAAAAUUGAAAAACGUGCCAAAAAUUUGCUUCGUCAAUCGUCAGAGACCUUCCCCCGUGAAGCAGCUCAAUUUUCCCCACAAAUUUUUUCCUCCAAAUUUCCCUCACCGUGCGUCCGUCAUCUUCACCACUGCCGGGAAGAUCAGCGACAUACAGAGACGAUGAUGAACCUCAUAAGUAGGCCUCGCUUGAAUGCGAUCCUAUCCACUUUCGUUACAGUGCACCCUUACGAGACUUCCGCGUUGCUCCACUCCCCCUCCUGCUCUUCUUCGUAAGCCCCAACCCCACACUAAUUCUUCCUCUCACCGAUUUUAGUUUUAUCAAGAUUUUAUUUUUCUUAUUUCACUCAACUGGGUCUAGAGUGUCUUUUUUUUUUCAACCGUUAGAUCUUGAGCGCAUAUUUCGUGGUGCUUCCAUUGCGGGAUGGGGUGCCAUCUCUUUGGGCCUAUCGAACAUACCGGGUCUCUUUGUGGGUUUCUUGGUGCUGACUUUGAUUGCUAUGCCUCUUUCCACUCUCAUUUUCUCUUUUCAUCACCUUUCCAAAAGCAAGGCUUUGGUUUUGAUACACAGGUUUUUAGUGUAUCACUUGUAUUCUUCAUUCUACAGCUUUCCUCGUUGGCUGGAUAUUCAGCAUCCAUAUUGAAGAGGAUCAAAAGGUUGAUGUUAACCAAGCCGGUUCUACAUAUUCUGUAGAUUGGGAUAACCACGGAUGGUGUUAUAUGUUAUUGAGGAUUGUAUUCUUCCUUUGGGUUGCUCUGCUUAAUCUAAUUUCAAUUUCUUCAAGUUGGGCACACAGAGAAAUAGUAAUUGAUGUGAUGGACAGUGAGGCCUAUUUGCUCAUAUGAUUUCUGAUACCGAGUAGAGAUUUUAGGUACAUAUUUGACUUGUUUUGUAUUCAGUUAGGUCAAGAUUUUUUGGGUUCAUUGGUGCUAGUGCCACACUUUGGCCAACUUUUUGGGUCAUUGUUUGCCACAGGAAUGACUCGUUUGGGGCCAUGUAAGUUUUCUUGUUCAGUUGCUUGGAUACUGUAAAUUGCUUCUUUUCUUUUUUUUUCUCUUUCCUAGUUGGUUUUUGGUGGGUUUCUAACCCACUGAUGGAUUUCUUGCAUUUUUUACUUUUAUUUGCUGUUUUGUUAAUGGAAUUUGCUGCACAAUCAUCAAAAGAGAUAACCCAAGAUGUGACCCACUCCAGUCUUCCUGAGGAAUUAUCUCCCAUCAGGUCAGCCACAUUUUGGACGAUCCAUCACAAAGAUUCUUCAGCACAAGCUUCAAAACAUUGCAGCAAGUGAACUAGUUGAAGUUCUUGGAGGGUGGUUUGGCAAGGCCACAAUGACGAAGUCCAAUGCUCAACUCCAUAGAUUUCAUGCUCAGUUUAAGCAAGCUCCACCAGUUCGACGUGAUCUUGGAGCUUCUUCUUCUUUUUCUUCUUUAACUCUAGUUGUUUACAUUACUAAUUUCAUGGAUCAGCUAACCAUCAUGACAGAAAUGCUCACCAGUCAGAGCUCGAGUAUUGAAAAGAUAAAGACGAAGCUUGCGCAUAUGGAAACAGACUUGGUGUAGGUCAAGCUGAAUGUGAGGACUAUUCUUCUCACAAUGCUACCGGAGGAGGAUAAAGAUCUAGUGCCUUAAUGAUCGUAUUUUGAUAAAAUAAUUUUUGUUUCAUUGGUUUUCAUGAUAGUGUUACUUUUGUAAUAGUUUGGUUGGUUUAUGGUUGUUUUUGUCUUUAAUAUCUAUAUUUUAUGUUGAUUUGACAUUUUUAAUUUGA